GGUUGUGUAGCUCAGUGGUAGAGCACUUACCUAGCAUGUAUGAGGCCCUAGAAUCAAUGCCCAGAACCU
rnacentral:tRNA from 1 species